GUGUCAGCAGCCGCGGUAAUACGUAGGGUGCAAGCGUUAUUCGGAUUUAUUGGGCGUAAAGAGCUCGUAGGCGGUUCGUCGCGUCUGGUGUGAAAGUCCAUCGCUUAACGGUGGAUCGGCGCCGGGUACGGGCGGACUGGAGUGCGGUAGGGGAGACUGGAAUUCCCGGUGUAACGGUGGAAUGUGUAGAUAUCGGGAAGAACACCGAUGGCGAAGGCAGGUCUCUGGGCCGUCACUGACGCUGAGGAGCGAAAGCGUGGGGAGCGAACAGGAUUAGAUACCCUGGUAGUCCACGCCGUAAACGGUGGAUGCUGGAUGUGGGGCCCGUUCCACGGGUUCCGUGUCGGAGCUAACGCGUUAAGCAUCCCGCCUGGGGAGUACGGCCGCAAGGCUAAAACUCAAAUAAAUUGACGG
rnacentral:rRNA from 1 species